rnacentral:rRNA from 1 species
UACCUGCAGCUCGAGUGGUGAUCGUUAUUAUUGGGCCUAAAACGUCCGUAGCCGGUCUUAUAAAUGCCUGGGUAAAUCGUAUGGCUUGACCAUACGAAUUCCGGGUAGACUGUUUGACUUGAGACCGGGAGAAGCUAGAGGUACUCCUUGGGUAGAGGUGAAAUUCUGUAAUCCUAGGGGGACCACCAGUGGCGAAGGCGUCUAGCUAGAACGGGUCUGACGGUGAGGGACGAAGCCCUGGGGCGCAAACGGGAUUAGAUACCCCGGUAGUCCAGGGUGUAAACGCUGCUUGCUUGAUGUUAGUCUGGCUCCGAGCCAGAUUAGUGUCGGAGAGAAGUUGUUAAGCAAGCUGCCUGGGAGGUACGGCCGCAAGACUGAAACUUAAAGGAAUUGGCGGGGAGCACCACAAGGCGUGAAGCUUGCGGUUC